UUUCUUCUCCCGAGCCCUCUGGGUCCAGUGGCAAAAUACAGGGGACCGCUGUGCUUUCUACGGAGAGGACCUAGGGAUAUACCGAGAUGAGAAGCUCACACCAUGAAAAGAUAGUCCAGUUCGCCAAGCAGCUGAACUCAAUCUUCAUCUUCGUUCACAAGUUUGGUUUCUUUCUGCGUUCAGGAUUAAUCUGCUAACUGGCGUACUCCUAGGACGUCUUCUCUCACCAUCCCAUCAUUGUAGCAUUUAUUAGGGGAAUGCAACCCAAAUCUGAAUGUUAUCCGAAGCAAAAAUGCCUUUAGAAAGGUAAUUUACAUAAUGAAUUCCAAAGUGAAAUCUAAAUGGCAUUUGCCUUAUUUGCUGAAAUGAGGCUCAUCAUAAAAAAAAAAUCAAAGAAUCGAACAUCUCUGAAAUGGAUUAAGAAAAGUUUGUUCUUAGCGUAAUGCAGAAGACUGGUUGAAGGUACAAGUCAGAGGCCUUUCUGUGGAUUUGGAAUUCUGAGUUCCUCUCCCCAAAUGUAAUUUUGCUCCAGAAAGCACUCAACACCUGUGAGCCUUAUGUAUAAAUGUGCACAAGGUGGAGGGUAGAGAGGAGUGGCUUUUCCCAGUGACUGAACUCAGGUGAAACACAGAAAGAGCCCCUUGAAGAAAGUGGCCCCUGGUCCUGAAGGCUUAUUUUCUCUGUAACAUUAAAAAGAUGAAAGCGGAAGUAAAGGCGGAGUAAAAAGGUAGUCGCUCUCACCCCCCCAUCAACAUCUGAAAACUCAGAAAAUAUC